rnacentral:piRNA from 1 species
UGGUCUACAUAGAAGCAACACUCUU